rnacentral:tRNA from 1 species
GCCUUCGUGGUGUAGUGGUCAGCACGCUGGGCGCGUAUUCCAGAAGUCCGUGGUUCGAUUCCUGGCUAAAGCG